rfam:Solanum lycopersicum cultivar Heinz 1706 chromosome 12, whole genome shotgun sequence.
GUGCUCGUAAAAAGUAGAGUUAGUUUGCAUCUCCCUUUACAAGGACUGAAUCAACCUUCGUGCUUUACCUGUUACCACAUAUCAAUUUAAGUCAUUCAAACUUGUUGGGACCAGAAAAAAAAUGUGG